AGUGAACGCUGGCGGCGUGCCUAAUACAUGCAAGUCGAACGGAGUGGCGCACGGGGGGGUAAUGUAUAGCUAAUCUGCCCUACACUAGAGGACAACAGUUGGAAACGACUGCUAAUACUCUAUAGUGUAGGAUGAGGCUAUAUUGUAUCAGCUAGUUUGUGAGGUAAUGGCUCACCAAGGCUAUGACGCAUAACUGGUCUGAGAGGAUGAUCAGUCAAACUUGAGCUGAGACACCGUCCAGACUCCUUCGGGGGGCAGCAGUAGGGAAUAAUGCUCAAUGGGGGAAACCCUGAAGCAGCACCUGCGCGUGGAGGAUGACACUUUUCGGAGUGUAAACUCCUUUUGUUAGGGAAGCGGUACCUAACGAAUAAGCACCGGCUAACUCCGUGCCAGCAGCCGCGGUAAUAC
rnacentral:rRNA from 1 species